rnacentral:sRNA from 1 species
GUUUACCUCAGCAAGCCUGGGCAAUGGCGGGCGCCCCUCCCCCAGCCUCGCUGCCGCCUUGCAGUUUGAUCUCAGACUGCUGUGCUAGCAAUCAGCGAGACUCCGUGGGCGUAGGACCCUCCGAGCCAGGUGCGGGACAUAAUCUCGUGGUGCAACGUUUUUUAAGCCGGUCCGAAAAGCGCAAUAUUCGGGUGGGAGUGACCCGAUUUUCCAGGUGCGUCCGUCACCCCUUUCUUUGACUCGGAAAGGGAACUCCCUGACCCCUUGCGCUUCCCAAGUGAGGCAAUGCCUCGUCCUGCUUCGGCUGGCGCACGGUGCGCGCACCCACUGACCUGCGCCCGCUGUCUAGCACUCCCUAGUGAGGUGAACCCGGUACCUCAGAUGGAAAUGCAGAAAUCACCUGUCUUCUGCGUCGCUCACGCUGGGAGCUGUGGACCGGAGCUGUUCCUAUUCGGCCAUCUUGGCUCCUCCCUAGGUAGGAUCCAAUGAUAGCUGGACAAGUCAGUAAGCCCUUGCUGUCAGUGCGGAGUGAAAUGAAUGCGGAGUUGAGAGGUGAGGACAAGGCUGCUACUUCAGACAGCGAGCUGAAUGAGCCCCUGCUUGCGCCUGUGGAAUCAAAUGACAGCGAGGACACUCCCAGCAAGCUCUUCGGGGCCAGAGGAAACCCGGCACUAUCAGACCCAGGCACUCCUGACCAACACCAGGCCAGUCAGACCCACCCCCCAUUUCCAGUUGGGCCACAGCCACUUCUGACGGCACAGCAGUUAGCUUCUGCUGUGGCCGGCGUGAUGCCGGGAGGCCCCCCAGCCCUCAACCAGCCAAUCCUCAUUCCCUUCAACAUGGCGGGACAGCUAGGAGGCCAGCAAGGACUGGUUCUCACACUGCCAACAGCGAAUCUCACCAACAUCCAAGGGCUGGUGGCAGCAGCUGCAGCCGGAGGCAUUAUGACUCUGCCAUUGCAAAAUCUACAAGCUACCUCAUCCCUGAACUCCCAGCUCCAGCAGCUCCAGCUCCAGCUCCAGCAGCAGCAGCAGCAGCAGCAGCAGCCUCCCCCGUCAACCAACCAGCACCCGCAGCCAGCCCCACAGGCGCCCUCGCAGUCCCAGCAGCAGCCGCUGCAGCCCACCCCACCCCAGCAGCCACCACCCGCCUCUCAGCAGCCGCCAGCUCCUACAUCUCAGCUGCAACAGGCGCCUCAGCCCCAGCAGCACCAACCCCACUCCCACUCCCAGAACCAGAACCAACCAUCUCCAACCCAGCAGAGCUCCAGCCCCCCGCAGAAACCCAGUCAGUCUCCAGGACAUGGCCUGCCUUCACCGCUCACGCCACCCAAUCCUCUACAGAUCCUGCACCCAAGGAGGAGUACGGACUAAGGGAAAAAGGUGGAUGGAAGAAUUUGGUACUUCCCUUCAGAAAUGAUUCAGAACCAAGCAUACAGAAAGUGGAGAACUGCCUACCUAGUCUAGCUAACUGUAUGCAUUUACUGGAGAAGCAAUAAUUUUACAAAGAGGCUGGGAACUGGUCUCCUUAUUGAAUAAAGAAUAAGCUCCCAGAUUUACAUUCGUUGAUUUUCUA